rnacentral:lncRNA from 1 species
AGAAAAGCAAGUCUUGCUUGCACGGAAACGCAAGGUGAUAGCCCCUUCGAGGCUUGAUAGACAUGAGGUAAUGGGGAAUUGUACUUCAUUAGAAUGUAAAACGUUUACAUGGAUCCACCUCGUUAAAAACCUUGCCUCCAACAUGGAGCCUCCCUAGCAAGGAAAAGAGUACGGUCCGUUUGCAAGAAAGUAAAUGUUAGAAAGUAAAUUUUCUGCCCUCGACGUUAUUUAUAGAUUCACAGGUCAAAGGCUUUUACAAGUGUGGCGACUAUGGGUAAUAUUUGUGCAAGUUAUCCACGUUCCAAGAAUGUGGUCACUCUGCUCCAAGCUGAUCUACGAGGUAAAAUAAUUCUGACCUGUUGCUUCAAGUGACAACAUAUGGCCCUUCCCAAGUUUCUUGUAACUUCCCAAGGUUCUCCCAGUUCUUUUUCUUUUUGAUAACUAGAUCUCCCACCUUGAUUUCUUUUUUCACUACUUUUCUAUCCCUCC